rnacentral:rRNA from 1 species
AUUGAACGCUGGCGGCAGGCCUAACACAUGCAAGUCGAACGAGUGGCGGACGGGUGAGUAAUGUCUGGGAAACUGCCUGAUGGCGGGGGAUAACUACUGGAAACGGUAGCUAAUACCGCAUACCAUCGGAUGUGCCCAGAUGGGAUUAGCUAGUAGGUGGGGUAACGGCUCACCUAGGCGACGAUCCCUAGCUGGUCUGAGAGGAUGACAAGCCAAACGGGAACUGAGAAACGGUCAAGACGCCUACGGGAGGAAGAAGUGGGGAAUAUUGCAAAAUGGGAGCAAGCCUGAUGCAGCCAUGCCGCGUGUAUGAAGAAGGCCUUCGGGUUGUAAAGUACGUUCAGCGGGGAGGCGUUACCCGCAGAAGAAGCACCGGCUAACUCCGUGCCAGCAGCCGCGGUAAUAC